UAGGUUUGUCCUAAGUCAAACUUGUCUAACUUUGACCAAGCUUAUAGGAAAAUAUGAUGAUAUUUAUAAUACCAAAUAAAUGCACUAUGAAAACAUAUCUCACGGUGGAUUCAAUGAAACUAAUUUGAUGAUGUAGAUGUUAAUUUUUUUUGUUUCUAAAAACUUGGUCAAAGUUAGACAAGUUUGACUUAGGAAAAAGCUAA
rnacentral:pre_miRNA from 1 species